rnacentral:rRNA from 1 species
UACGGGGGGGGCAAGCGUUGUUCGGAAUUACUGGGCGUAAAGGGCUCGUAGGCGGCCAACUAAGUCAUACGUGAAAUCCCUCAGCUUAACUGGGGAACUGCGUGUGAUACUGGAUGGCUUGGAUUUGGGAGAGGGAUGCGGAAUUCCUGGUGUAGCGGUGGAAUGCGCAGAUAUCAGGAGGAACACCGGUGGCGAAGGCGGGUCUCUGGGCAGUAACUGACGCUGAGGAGCGAAAGCGUGGGGAGCAAACAGG